rnacentral:rRNA from 1 species
GACGAACGCUGGCGGCGUGCCUAAUACAUGCAAGUUGAGCGCUGAAGGUUGGUACUUGUACCAACUGGAUGAGCAGCGAACGGGUGAGUAACGCGUGGGGAAUCUGCCUUUGAGCGGGGGACAACAUUUGGAAACGAAUGCUAAUACCGCAUAAAAACUUUAAACACAAGUUUUAAGUUUGAAAGAUGCAAUUGCAUCACUCAAAGAUGAUCCCGCGUUGUAUUAGCUAGUUGGUGAGGUAAAGGCUCACCAAGGCGAUGAUACAUAGCCGACCUGAGAGGGUGAUCGGCCACAUUGGGACUGAGACACGGCCCAAACUCCUACGGGAGGCAGCAGUAGGGAAUCUUCGGCAAUGGACGAAAGUCUGACCGAGCAACGCCGCGCGAGUGAAGAAGGUUGUCGGAUCGUAAAACUCUGUUGGUAGAGAAGAACGUUGGUGAGAGUGGAAAGCUCAUCAAGUGACGGUAACUACCCAGAAAGGGGCGGCUAACUACGUG